GACGAACGCUGGCGGCGUGCCUAACACAUGCAAGUCGAACGGAGUGAUGAUUUCGGUUAUCACUUAGUGGCGAACGGGUGAGUAACGCGUGAGAAACCUGCCUUUCAGUGGGGGACAACAGUUGGAAAUGACUGCUAAUACCGCAUAAGACCACAGUACCGCAUGGUGCAGGGGUAAAAACUCCGGUGGUAUGAGAUGGACCCGCGUCUGAUUAGGUAGUUGGUGGGGUAACGGCCUACCAAGCCGACGAUCAGUAGCCGACCUGAGAGGGUGACCGGCCACAUUGGGACUGAGACACGGCCCAA
rnacentral:rRNA from 1 species